AACGAACGCUGGCGGCAUGCCUAACACAUGCAAGUCGAACGAGACCUUCGGGUCUAGUGGCGCACGGGUGCGUAACGCGUGGGAAUCUGCCCUUGGGUUCGGAAUAACAGUUGGAAACGACUGCUAAUACCGGAUGAUGACGUAAGUCCAAAGAUUUAUCGCCCAAGGAUGAGCCGGCGUAGGAUUAGCUAGUUGGUGAGGUAAUGGCUCACCAAGGCGACGAUCCUUAGCUGGUCUGAGAGGAUGAUCAGCCACACUGAGACUGAGACGCGGCCCAGACUCCUACGGGAGGCAGCAGUGGGGAAUAUUGGACAAUGGGCGAAAGCCUGAUCCAGCAAUGCCGGGUGAGUGAUGAAGGCCGUAGGGUUGUAAAGCUCUUUUACCCGGGAUGAUAAUGACAGUACCGGGAGAAUAAGCUCCGGCUAACUCCGUG
rnacentral:rRNA from 1 species